AUGGGUCGGGCUUAACUAAGGAGUGUGGUCAAUAACUGUUAGGUGAGCCCAUAUGACUUAGAGACCAAGUCGCUGCAACAUACUUAGAGAAGCAUCUGGGCAAAGAGUUAUCCAUGCAUUGGUGUGCAUGCUAUCAAUAACUGUUAGGUGAGGUACAUGACAUCGAUGGAACCACGGCACCCACUAAAAAUUUAUUUGUCGCAUUAGGGUUUUCAUUUUCCACCUGGGGAGUGG
rnacentral:lncRNA from 1 species